AUCAGAUUAUUCUACUAACGCGAAAAACUCGAUAGGUUCUGCUUGAAAACAGCAAUUGUUGGUCUAGUUUCCGGGAAAACAAACCGCACUCUAUUACCGCAGCAGAGUUUUGCUAGAAGAAAAAAAUAUGACAAAAUAAAUUUGUUGGUCGUUCCAGAACUAAUGAUUGAUAAUGUGCUCAGAAUCUGUCACGAUAAUGGGGGACAUAUAGGAAAAGAAAAAAUAAUUCAUGAAAAUAAAAACUUAUGUCGGUUCAGCAGCAUAAAAUAAAUAUGUGAAAUUUUUUUUCCAAAUUGCCUAACUUGUAUAUUCUCAGCCCGACUUCUAACUGGGAAGAGGGUUUCCUUAAAAUUAUUGAUAAAUCACUAUGAGCCAUUACAAAUGGGCCUACUUCAAAUAGAUUUAGAUACAUAUCGGUUAUAGUUGACGUUUUUACAAAAUUUACGCAAUUGCUCCCCGUUGAAACAACAACUUCAGAAGAAGUAAUCAAACAUCUUAUAAAUUAUUAUAAUUUUUAUAGCAAACCAGAGAGAAUCUUUACUGAUAGAGGAGCUUGUUUCGCAUCUAAAAAGUUUAGUGAUUUAGUAAAGAACAUUACAAUGAACCUGUAAAAAGAGCAUCUAGAACACCUAGAGCGAAUGGGCCAGCAAAACGAAUAAAAAAACACUAACUCUUACGCUUGCAAAAGUGUCUAAUGAGCCAGGUGUAUGGGAUGAACUGCUGCCAAACAUUACAUACAUUUUAAUAAUACAUAUAACAGGUCAAUUGCCAAGUGUUCCCCAGUGUAUUAUCAUUUGGCACACAACAGAAUAAUUUGUUCAAUGAAAAUUCGAACAUUGAAUGUUUUGUUAGAAAUAACCAAAGGGCUAGUGAAAAUAUAAAUUUACAAGAAAUUUACAAGACAGAGCACAGAUACUUGAUAGUGAUGUUUGAGGAUAUCAUAAUAUAAUUACAACCGAUAAAAAAGACUCGCAAAUACACAACACUUGGAAGGAGAUUUUGUGGUAAUAAAAAUAAAUGACACAAAUAAACUAUCGGCAAAAGUUAUUAAAGGACCGAAUAAAAUGAAGAAAGUAUUGCCAAAUGAUAGCGCAAAAUUAGAGAAAAUGGAUGCAUAAUGACAUAUCGGACAACGGGGAAGGAAGGAAAAGGUGAGGGAAGACUAGCAGCAGCUUAAUAUGAUAUGUAAUUGAUUUAUUAGCAAUAGCACUCCUACGAGUGAACCUACUAGGUGAGAGUGUUGAGCACAUUGGUGGCGUUAGUGACUGAACUUACUUACCUUCCUGGCGAAACAGGAGAGCUCAGUCACAACUACUGGGGUCUGGUCAUCAAUGCAUCGAAGACGAAGCACAUGAAAGGAAGGGGUUCACGAGAAGACAGUGCUAACCUCCCACCUCGAGUACAAGUUGGUGGUGAUGAAAUCAAGGUGGUCGUCGAUGAGUUCGUGUAUCUGGGCUCACUGCUAACUGCCGACAACGAUACCAGCAGAGAAAUUCAACGGCGCAUUAUGGCAGGAUAUCGUGCAUACUUGGGUCUCCGGAGGACGCUCCGAUCGAGUAGCAUAUGCCGCCGAACCAAGCUAACCAUCUACAAGACGCUGAUCAGACCGGUAGUCCUCUACGGGCAUGAAACAUGGACUAUGCUUGUCGAGGACCAACGCGCCCUUGCCUGUUUCCUAGCGGAAGGUAUUGCGUACCAUCUUCGGUGGACUGCAGAAGGAGAACGGAGUGCGGAGAAGGCGAAUGAACCACGAACGAACACUGUAGGAGCUGCUUGGGGAGCCAUCCAUCUAUCGUCCACACCGCUAAGAUUGGCAGGUUGCGGUGGGCUAGGGAGUGGGACGAGACGGAGAGGUGCACAGCUGGCAAGGUAGAUCGAUCAGGUGAAAGACGACCGGCGGACCCUACGCAGACUGCAGAGCUGGCGAACUGCAGCCAUCGAUCGUGUGGAAUGGAGACGACUCUUACGUGUACAGCAAAGGCCACACCACGGCUUGGGAUUGUGUGGUAAGAGGUAAGCAGUCACAAUGUUACGCCAACGCACUCGCGGUCCAUGGCAGGCAGCUUGUCUCUCGAGAGCGUCCUACAUUUCCGAGAUCUUGCUCCACUUGGUCCAACCACCUAGCUCUCCUAGUCGGAUUCGAGACGAACAACACCACGGCAUUCUUACCGCCCAUUGUACCCUUCCUACUGGGCUUAGAAGUACAGGAGAGUUGCGCCAGCUCAUGGUUCAUUCAUAGUCCUAAGCACACGUCGUUCGAAAACGGCUAGUCCUCGAGUCUCGUGCCCCUACUCGGACUACCGGUCUUAUUAUUUUGCUAGACCUCAACUUGUGUCUUGUGGCGUCCGUAGUAGGCACGACUUCCAGUCUGCGCUGCUGCGCGUCUCUGCUGCAGUUGUUGUCUGACUCGUUAGUCAGAUCCGAUCCGAACAAACAUCCGAAACUCGUCAACCACCUCGAACUCAUCUCUACUCAUAUGCUCAUGCGAUAGGGCGCGCUCGGUUCCCCCUGCUAGCAGAUACUUGGUCUUCGACGUAUUCACCUUCAAUCCUGCACAUGCUUUUCAGCUUGGUUUACACACUGUUGAGCAACCGCUUGGACGCCUGGUCCUUUCAGAUGAACUGGCUGGAUUUAUUGAUUUAUUUGUUGUGCCCCGCAUGUUAAAGGCCGCACACGCACGUGUGUUCAUAACACACACCUUCACUUCAAGAGGCAGGAGAACACAGGAACAGGAGGCCUUGUCUUCGGCCCCUUGCGUGUCUCAAACGGGUGCGGUGAUAUCUUCACACAGCACUUGUAUAUCCAUAUCCUCUAAUCAGUCUUGUUAGUUUCGCAGGGAAGUCCAUAACUUUCCAUAGCCUUCACACGGUCGAUAGUGUCGUAAUAGGUGGUUGUUGGUAAUCGCGACACUUUUGGAGGAUCUCUGCCGCAGCGUUUGCAAUUUGGUCCGUUGUCGAUUGGGCGAUGGGCAUAUCCACGAAACCGGCUUGAUAACUUCCCACAACUACAAACCUUCGUGCUAGCGGCGAGAGACGGCCGGGAUGAUAAUGAGAUUUGGGAGAGCACUUUUUUGUAGGCUGCGUUGAGAAUCGUGAUCGCUCUCGCUCUCGCUCGGUAGUGGUAGUUGUCACAUUCCAACUUGUCGCCCCCUUCUUGUUAUAUUGGGCAUAUUAUAUUACUCCCUCCUUCCUGUUCUGUAAAGCCAGAUCCUUAAGCGGUAGCUGAUGCAGACAGGAAGCCACAACCUAUCCGGGCCCAGCUUGAUAAGCUCCGCUGCGAUGCCAGCCUUUGCAGCUCUGAUUUGUUGUUCUUGAGCAUCCACACAGCAUCACUCUUAUUAUCGUGGUAUGUAGUGCGGUAUGUCUCCCUCAUCCGCUGUGCUGACGAAGUCGUUCCUCCUACCGCCUUUGUCUUCGGCUUGGUCCUCUGCCUCUGGGCCAUUGAAGUAGUGUUCAUUGUAGUAGUUGCUGCUUCCACCUGUCGAUAUCACCUCACACGUUCAUCCGUCAAGAUUCUUCCAUCUUUCAUUUCAUUUCACAGCUCCAUCAUCUGAUUCAUUUCAGCUCGCGGCACAAAGCCUGCGCCGGAUGCGUUUUAGUUUCUCGUAGAAUCUACGUGUUUCUUGUGAACGAUACAGCUGCUCCAUUUCCACACACUCCUUAUUACGCUCUUCAAGCGCCGCUUUUUGUCCCUUUUCGACCGCUUUCUGGCCGCUUUUUGGCUUCGUUUUUUUAACUCUAUAUAUAAUCGAUAACGCUCAAUAUGGAUUCUACCGAUGUUUAUUUUCCUGUAUAAUUUCCGCAUACAUAAUCCCAUCUAUAUAUUAAGUGUAUGCUGCUAGAAAUGGUUCGAUUGAAUGAAUGUUUAAUUAUUUCUGUUCAAUUUCUGCCUGAUCCUGAAUAUAUUUAACAAUUCUAGAAGUGGUUCUAUCAAUAUUUUUACUUCUGUUUAAUUUCUGUAAGGAUACUUUACUUUUACUUUUAUGGCCGACAGAUCGGUGAGAUCGAUCCUAUGCCGAAUCCAGAAUACGUCUCUUUUUUUAUUAUCUUUAUUAAAGAGGCUUUCAGCCACCAGGCUGGUUCACCUCUGAGAAUACGUCUCUGCCUAAUCGUAUAUAUAUAGUUAAUGGCGCUCAAAAUGGUUCUCUCGAUGCAUAAACACUGGGGAAAAGUGAGAAAAAAAGGUUCAAAUACUUACUAAUAUUCACCACUAACUCCAUCUAAAUUCGCACUUUAGCAAUAAAUGUAAGGAAAAAGCCAGAAUACUGCCACCUAGAAUCGUCGGUGCAUGUACAAGCUUAAUAAGCUUCUCCGGUGCGCCAUCUAAAUUCACAUAGGCAAUCGAAAAAAGUUUUCACAGUGUUGCCACCUACCUUCGUUACCGCCACCUACCGUCGAGGAAGAUUCGGGGGUGAUUGUAUCCACUAAAUUAACUAGACGCCACCUGCGCCACCUGUAUACCGUCAUGAGCAACUAUUUCAGAGUCGCCACCUACAUUCGAGGCGCCAAAGCUGUGUCGGUGCCGCCAUCUGGUUUUAAAAAUGGAAAGCUUCCAAGGGCGCCACCUAUGUAUCGAUACGAACAACUACCUUAGUGGCGACACCUACAUUUGAAGCGCAAAAGCUGGUUCGGUACCGCCAUCUAGUUUUGAAAAUUGAAAGUUUCCACAGAGCGCCACCUAUAUGUCGACACGAACAACUAUUGAAGUGGCGCCACCUACAUGUAAAGUGUAAAAGCUGUAUCGGUGCCGCCAUCUAGUUUUGACAAAUAAAAGUUCCCACAAAGCGCCACCUAUAUGUCGGCAUGAGCAACUAUUUUAGUGUCGCCAUCUGCAUUUAAAGUGUAGAAAGCUGUUUCGGUGUCGCCAUCUAACGCAGAAUGAAAAGUUUCUACAGUGUAUCACCCUACCGGUGUUAUCGUAAUCUAACUUCGUAAAAGAUUCGUAAAAUACAUAAUCAAACUAGCGUUGGGUGAAACGAUCGUACAUUAUUUAUUUAAAAACAAAAAUUUGCAUUUUCAAUAAUUUGAAAGUCAUACAUCAAUUACAUGAUUGUCUUCUACCUUCAUCAAAAUUGGGAUUACCUUCUUCAUCAAGUUGUUGCAGACGAAAAGUUUUUCCAUUAUUUUCAUCCGAAAGUGCAAGAAAAAGUGUACCGGAUCAAACGUUAAGGUGUAAAACAAUAAAAUGAUAAUAAAAUUGAAUAAUCGAAAUAUGUGUUUUAGUUAUUAUUUUUGGUUAAAUUUAAGGGACGUAUUACAGAGACUUGUCAAAGCAUUGGAUUUUCGUUCGUACAGCGAAUCUGUCUUAACCAUUACCUUACAGCGAAGAAUGAAGCUUACAUUUACAGCA